rnacentral:rRNA from 1 species
UACCAGCACCCCGAGUGGUCGGGACGAUUAUUGGGCCUAAAGCAUCCGUAGCCGGUUCUGCAAGUUCUCCGUUAAAUCCAACUGCUUAACAGAUGGGCCGCGGAGGAUACUACAGAGCUAGGAGGCAGGAGAGGCAAGCGGUACUCAGUGGGUAGGGGUAAAAUCCGUUGAUCCAUUGAAGACCACCAGUGGCGAAGGCGGCUUGCCAGAAUGCGCUCGACGGUGAGGGAUGAAAGCUGGGGGAGCAAACCGG